AGUGAACGCUGGCGGCGUGCUUAACACAUGCAAGUCGAACGAGAACGGUCCUUCGGGACGCCAGCUAAGUGGCGCACGGGUGUGUAUAGGAUAGUACAUCUGCCCCGCAGAGAGGGACAACAACUAGAAAUGGUUGCUAAUAACUCAUACUCCGUUAUUAUUAAUUAGUAAAGGGAAACGAAUUUCGCUGGGGGAUGGGACUAUAUCCUAUAAGCUUGUUGGUGAGGUAAUGGCUCACCAAGGCUAUGACGGGUAGCUGGUCUUAGAGGAUGAUCAGACACACUGGUACUGAGAAACGGACCAGAAUACUACGGGAGGCAGCAGUGGGGAAUAUUGGGCAAUGGACGAAAGUCUGACGCAGCAACGCCGCGUGGAGGAUGAAGCAGUUCGGUGUAUAAACUCCUUUUAACUAAGAAGAUAAUGACGGUAUUAGUUGAAUAAGCACCGGCUAACUCCGUGCCAGCCGCCGCCGUAA
rnacentral:rRNA from 1 species